rnacentral:rRNA from 1 species
UACAGAGGGGGCAAGCGUUGUUCGGAAUUACUGGGCGUAAAGGGCGCGUAGGCGGCCUUCUAAGUCGAACGUGAAAUCCCCGGGCUCAACCCGGGAACUGCGUCCGAUACUGGAAGGCUUGAAUCCGGGAGAGGGAUGCGGAAUUCCAGGUGUAGCGGUGAAAUGCGUAGAUAUCUGGAGGAAUACCGGUGGCGAAGGCGGCAUCCUGGACCGACAUUGACGCUGAGGAGCGAAAGCCAGGGGAGCAAACGGG